UCUCAUUUCUUAAACCCUAAUUUCGACGCCUCCUCUCUUCGUUUGCUCUUCACGCCUCUCUCUCAAACCUCAACGAGGAAGGCUCAACAAGUGACAACAGUAUGGCCAGAAGACGCAAUCCCGACAAGGAUCGACGCACUCCCGACAUGGAUCCGGUGGUUUGGAGUGUGCGUGUGCAUCCAGGAAGACGCGUCCGAAUAAGAAUUGAUAGAGGAGGGUUUGUCAAUAUACAACGAGUUUGUUUUACUGGUCUCGAGGAGGAGGCUGCUGCUGAUGUCCCUCCUGCUGAUGUCCCUCCUGCUGAUGUCCAACCUUUUCAGGUUUUCUUCAGCAGAAUCAGAGACAGGAAUGUCACUCAGCAACUGAUUACAUGAGGGAAUAAAAAUAGACAUAUCAGAAUAAAAAUAAAAGAAAGUAAGAAGGAUGAAAACAUGUUAGAUAGAAACAUACUCGAUAGAAGCUAGUAACCGUAGAGAUCUACGGGAUAUGGUAGUUCGU